GGAGAACUGGUGCUCGGAGUGGGGUCACUCAUUCUUAUAUCACUUAACAGAGUUCUGCUGAAAGCAUACUCCAAGUGUGAUAAUGGCACAGAGAUCAUCAAUGUGCAGAACUCGUGGUUAGCACUUAGCAAGUGCGUGUAGUGUUCCAAAGUCACCUGUCAACGAUGAUAAACCGCAUCAAAAAACGGAGGAAGGAUCAGAUCAGAUGCAUGUCAUUUACUAUAUUUCUUUGGGAAAAGAGGAGACACAUGAUUUCCUGUGAUACAUCAAUACGUACCUAAAUUGUCUAUGUUUCUUCAAAAUGUUGAUUGAAACAGAAGGGAGGGAGUAAUACUCAUGUCAGCUGUCCCAUGUGGAAGCUUUACCAGC